AGAUUGAAUAGCAGUCAGUGUCCUUGAAGCAGGUGUGUUACGCUAACAGUGGAUACGCUGACAAGUGCCACUAAUUAGAUCUGGUGUCACAAUAGUUUGGAUUUAAAAACAAAAAACUUUUUUUACUGUAUUAGAUUGAAUAGCAGUCAGUAUCCUUAAAGCGGGUGUGUUACGCUAACAGUGGAUACGCUGACAAGUGCCACUAAUUAGAUCUGGUGUCACAAUAGUUUGGAUUUAAAAACAAAAAACUUUUUUUACUGUAGUAGAUUGAAUAGCAGUCAGUGUCCUUAAAGCGGGUGUGUUACGCUAAC